CACCAGUGGCGAAGGCGUUCUCUGGACUGUAACUGACGCUGAGGCUCGAAAGCGUGGGGAGCAAACAGGAUUAGAUACCUGGUAGUCCACGCCGUAAACGAUGAAUACUAGGUGUAGGGGUUGUCAUGACCUCUGUGCGCCGCUAACGCAUUAAGUAUUCCGCCUGGGGAGUACGGUCGCAAGAUUAAAACUCAAAGAAUUGACGGGGGCCCGCACAAGCAGCGGAGCAUGUGGUUUAAUUCGAAGCAACGCGAAGACCUUACCUAGACUUGACAUCUCCUGCAUUACCCUUAAUCGGGGAAGUCCCUUCGGGAACAGAAGACAGGUGGUGCAUGGUUGUCGUCAGCUCGUGUCGUGAGAUGUUGGGUUAAGUCCCGAACGAGCGCAACCCUUAUUGUUAGUUGCUACCAUUUAGUUGAGCACUCUAGCGAGACUGCCGGGUUAACCGGGAGGAAGGUGGGGAUGACGUCAAAUCAUCAUGCCCCUUAUGUCUAGGGUACACACGUGCUACAAUGGCAAGUACAAAGAGAAGCAAUACUGCGAGGUGGAGCAAAACUAAAAACUUGUCUCAUUUCGGAUUGUAGGCUGAAACUCGCCUACAUGAAGCUGGAGUUGCUGUAAUCGCGAAUCAGAAUGUCGCGGUGAAUACGUUCCCGGGCCUUGCACACACCGCCCGU
rnacentral:rRNA from 1 species